rnacentral:rRNA from 1 species
CGGAUAAGCCCUUACGGGGAAAGUUUUAACGCCGAAAGAUGAGCCCGCACUUGAUUAGCUAGUUGGUAAGGUAAAAGCUUACCAAGGCAACGAUCAAUAGCUGUUCUUAGAGGAAGACCAGCCACAUUGGGACUGAGACACGGCCCAGACUCCUACGGGAGGCAGCAGUGGGGAAUCUUGCACAAUGGGGGAAACCCUGAUGCAGCGAUGCCGCGUGAGUGAAGAAGGCCCUUGGGUUGUAAAACUCUUUCGUCGGGGAAGAAAAUGACUGUACCCGAAUAAGAAGGUCCGGCUAACUUCGUGCCAGCAGCCGCGGUAAUACGAAGGGACCUAGCGUAGUUCGGAAUUACUGGGCUUAAAGAGCUCGUAGGUGGUUAAAAAAGUUGAUGGUGAAAUCCCAAGGCUCAACCUUGGAACUGCCAUCAAAACUUUUUAGCUAGAGUGUGAUAGAGGUAAGUGGAAUUUCUAGUGUAGAGGUGAAAUUCGUAGAUAUUAGAAAGAACACCAAAUGCGAAGGCAACUUACUGGGUCACUACUGACACUGAGGAGCGAAAGCAUGGGUAGCGAAGAGGAUUAGAUACCCUCGUAGUCCAUGCCGUAAACGAUGUGUGCUAGACGUUGGAAAUAUAUUUUUCAGUGUCGCAGCGAAAGCAUUAAGCACACCGCCUGGGGAGUACGACCGCAAGGUUAAAACUCAAAUGAAUUGACGGGGACCCGCACAAGCAGUGGAGCAUGUGGUUUAAUUCGAAGAUACGCGCAGAACCUUACCAACGCUUGACAUGUUCGUCGCGAGACUAAGAGAUUAGUCUCUUCAGUUAGGCUGGACGAAAC